ACAUCUACACGAGUACUAUGAUUCACUUUUGAUCACAUACCUUGCAUUCAACCUUUACAUUCACGAUUCUUUUAUCAUAUACAUGCUUUUCAUCAUUUCUUUUUACAUCACAUUUUCUUCAAAAUAGAAGUUUACAUUCUUUUCCUUUACAUCUCGAUUCAUCAAAUACAAAAGAUGAUAUAAGGGUAUGCUACUAGCAAAAUAUAGGACCCAACUCGGGCAGUCACUGUCUACGGCGCGAUACCUUUACCGCGGUCGCUUGCCGGCUCGCUCGGUCCCGGCUCUGUGGAAAUAGUGG
rnacentral:lncRNA from 1 species